rnacentral:rRNA from 1 species
UAGUCCACGCCGUAAACGAUGUCUACUAGCCGUUGGGGGGCUUGACCCUUUAGUGGCGAAGCUAACGCGAUAAGUAGACCGCCUGGGGAGUACGGUCGCAAGAUUAAAACUCAAAUGAAUUGACGGGGGCCCGCACAAGCGGUGGAGCAUGUGGUUUAAUUCGAUGCAACGCGAAAAACCUUACCAGGCCUUGACAUCCUGAGAACUUUCUAGAGAUAGAUCGGUGCCUUCGGGAGCUCAGUGACAGGUGUUGCAUGGCUGUCGUCAGCUCGUGUCGUGAGAUGUUGGGUUAAGUCCCGUAACGAGCGCAACCCUCAUCCUUAUUUGCCAGCACAUAAUGGUGGGAACUCUAAGGAGACUGCCGGUGACAAACCGGAGGAAGGAGAGGAUGAUGUCAAGUCAUCAUGGCCCUUACGCCCAGGGCGACACACGUGCUACAAUGGUACAUACAGAGGGUCGCGACCCCGCGACGGGUGAGCCAAUCUCAGAAAGUGUAUCUC